UACGUAGGGGGCAAGCGUUGUCCGGAAUGAUUGGGCGUAAAGGGCGCGUAGGCGGCCCGGUAAGUCUGGAGUGAAAGUCCUGCUUUUAAGGUGGGAAUUGCUUUGGAAACUGUCGGGCUUGAGUGCAGGAGAGGUAAGCGGAAUUCCCGGUGUAGCGGUGAAAUGCGUAGAGAUCGGGAGGAACACCAGUGGCGAAGGCGGCUUACUGGACUGUAACUGACGCUGAGGCGCGAAAGUGUGGGGAGCAAACAGGAUUAGAUACCCUGGUAGUCCACACUGUAAACGAUGAAUGCUAGGUGUAGGGGGUAUCGACCCCUUCUGUGCCGGAGUAAACACAAUAAGCAUUCCGCCUGGGGAGUACGGCCGCAAGGUUGAA
rnacentral:rRNA from 1 species